CCUACGGGUGGCUGCAGUGAGGAAUAUUGGUCAAUGGACGCAAGUCUGAACCAGCCAAGUAGCGUGCAGGAUGACGGCUCUCCGGUUUGUAAACUGCUUUUAGUUGGGAAUAAAAGGGGGCUCGUGAGCCCCGUAUUGUAUGUACCAUCAGAAAAAGGACCGGCUAAUUCCGUGCCAGCAGCCGCGGUAAUACGGAGGGUCCGGGGGGUAGCCGGAUUGAUUGGGUUUAAAGGGAGCGUAGGCCGGCUUGUAGGUCGGCUGUGAAAGUCCGCGGCUCAACCGUGGAAGUGCAGUGGAACAUGGAGGCCUUGAGUACGCAUGGGGAUGCCGGAAUUCAUGGUGUAGCGGUGAAAUGCUUAGAUAUCAUGAAGAACUCCGAUCGCGAAGGCAAGUGUCCGGAGUGCAACUGACGCUGAGGCUCGAAAGUGCGGGUAUCAAACAGGAUUAGAUACCCGAGUAGUC
rnacentral:rRNA from 1 species